UCGGAGAUAAAAACACAAUCCCGUCGGGUAGUCGGGAUGCGCCUGGUAAGGCGUCAGUAACCUGCCUCCUUGGUUGUCCCUUCUCCG
rnacentral:ncRNA from 1 species